GACAGAGGGUGCAACCGUUGCUCGGAAUUACUGGGCGUAAAGCGCGUGUAGGCGGACCACCAAGUCGGACGUGAAAGCCCUGAGCUCAACUCAGGAACUGCAUCCGAAACUGGCGGUCUGGAGUAGUGGAGAGGAAAGCAGAAUUCCUGGUGUAGAGGUGAAAUUCGUAGAUAUCAGGAGGAACACCGGUGGCGAAGGCGGCUUUCUGGACACUUACUGACGCUGAGACGCGAAAGCGUGGGGAGCAAACAGG
rnacentral:rRNA from 1 species